rnacentral:rRNA from 1 species
AACGAACGCUGGCGGCAUGCCUAACACAUGCAAGUCGAACGAGACCUUCGGGUCUAGUGGCGCACGGGUGCGUAACGCGUGGGAAUCUGCCCUUAGGUACGGAAUAACUCAGGGAAACUUGAGCUAAUACCGUAUAAUGACUCCGGUCCAAAGAUUUAUCGCCCAAGGAUGAGCCCGCGUCGGAUUAGCUAGUUGGUGAGGUAAAAGCUCACCAAGGCGACGAUCCUUAGCUGGCUGAGAGGAUGAUCAGCCACACUGGGACUGAGACACGGCCCAGACUCCUACGGGAGGCAGCA